UACGUAGGGGGCAAGCGUUGUCCGGAGUUACUGGGCGUAAAGCGCACGCAGGCGGUCGAUUAAGUUUGGAGUGACAGUUGGUGGCUUAACUGCCAAAGUGCUUUGAAAACUGAUCGACUUGAGGGCUUCAGAGGGACACGGAAUUCCGGGUGGAGUGGUGAAAUGCGUAGAGAUCCGGAGGAACACCAGCGGCGAAGGCGGCAUCCUGGACUGGUACUGACGCUCAUGAGCGAAAGCGUGGGGAGCGAUCCGG
rnacentral:rRNA from 1 species